rnacentral:rRNA from 1 species
UACGUAGGGUGCAAGCGUUGUCCGGAAUUUAUUGGGCGUAAAGAGCUCGUAGGCGGUCUGUCGCGUCGGCUGUGAAAACUCGGGGCUCAACCCCGAGCCUGCAGUCGAUACGGGCAGACUAGAGUGCUGUAGGGGAGACUGGAAUUCCUGGUGUAGCGGUGAAAUGCGCAGAUAUCAGGAGGAACACCGGUGGCGAAGGCGGGGUCUCUGGGCAGUAACUGACGUGAGGAGCGAAAGCGUGGGGAGCGAACAGG